UAUAUUGUCAGAAAAAAAACAAACAAAAAAACAGAUGAUUUCACAAUUUUGCAGAAGAAAAGUUCCAAGGAGUUAUGGGACUCCAAUGAAAGCAAAAUUUCAAGGAAAUGAACGUGGAUAAAGGAACAAGAAGAGGUCAACAAGUUCAAAGAAGAGGAGAGUAGUGGACUCGGGGUACAGAGGAGGAGGGACUAGGUAGUGGUUCAUUCAACAAAUCUUUACUUGAAUGCAAUAAGUGUCGCAAUCAAUACGAGUGUUCAAAAUUGGGAGAAAACUGCCAACUAGGCAGAUUUUUUGAUGAAUCAGAAGAGUUUUAGAGAAUUUAGGGAUUGUUGAAAGGGAAGGAAAAAAUACAAAAAAUGUACUGUGAUAACAUGUCUACAAUCAAGUCAUCAAAGAAUCCAGUUAUAUACA